AUAUAUAUAUAUAUAUAUAUACUAACCCUCUCCUAAAUGAUAGAUGAGGCAGGCGAUCUCUUUUAUUUUCCUUUCUGCAAUAGACCAAUAGUAUUUUAGUCAACUUCAGGGUAUGUUAAAUAUGACAGUUAAUGAAGAUGAUCGUUCUUUCUGUUAAGAGUACACAAUCUGACUCAUUUUAAAAUAGCACCUUAUCUUUAUGAAAACACUAAGCUGCUACUUUAGCAAGUGUUUUACUUCAACACAGAUUGCUGCAGGAAAGAAAGUUUUUUUUUGCAAUAAAGCAAGCAUUGAACGCACUGAAGUGUUCGAAGAAGAAGAGCUUGAAUUUUUUGCCGACGUAAAUUUAAGGUACAGCUAUAGCAUGGUGAAGGAACACUACAGGCAUUGAACAAAGAAAGGAAGAAUGAUGGUUAGAACCACUGAGAUACUGAGUCCGGCCAACUAGAUGAGUGUCAGCAGCGUAUUUCUUCAUUGGAAGAGGUGACAAAAAUUCCCCUUUAGAGUAUAUUAGUUGUUUAGUCCUUACUGAGAUAGACUAACACAUAGUACAAUUUUUUUGACUGCACCCUUACAAUUUGGCCUGGCUAGAUACAAUGUAUUUACUUCAAUUCUCUUUUGAGUUAGCAAAUAAUGACCAGUUAACAAUGUUUUAUUUGAUGAUUCAGGACAAUAUCAGCCGGUUCAUUGAUCAAAGUGGUGGGAAGCUCCCGAAAACACCCUUUCCAAACAGAAUUUAUUUUUGAGAUCUCUUUAUUUUUCAUCAUUAUGAAGGUUGAUUUUACCUGUUUCACUUGAAUGGUGACCUUCCCACACUCCCAAUUUUUGCUUAGGAUUCUCGUUUAAAUGGUGAGCGCUCAGAUUCUGAAUGUCGGAUCUUUAGUACUGUUUAUUAUUUUAAGAAAAUAUGAGUAAUGUGAUUUUGUUCUCUAGAGACUGGAAUUGAAUAAUAGGUCCUUUUGGUACUGUCAUCUUACCAUUUGUUCCUAACAGAUGCAUGGGUUCGACUAUGCAUUAUCAUAUGUUUUGUUUCAAAGGUAAUAUGCCCUAAAUCAUUUACUGAACUUUCAGUUCUUUUUUGGAACCAGGCGAGUAUAAACAAUUUGUUAUCUGCCAUCCUAAAUUGUUUCCCAUGCCAUCCAUGUAAGUUUUAGUACCUUUCCAUGUAGGUAGUGGGCGAUCAAGUGUGUGCAUUUCAUGACAUAAAUUUACUUUGUUUUGUUUCAAAGGUAAUAUGCCCUAAAUCAUGUACUGAACUUUCAGUUCUUUUUCGGAACUAGCACGUUGGGUGCAGAUGAGGAUGAAAUGAGCCAGGGAGAAAUAUUGCUGGUAGAAAAACAGGCCUCCCAUGCCAUCCUGACCAAAAAUGUAUUCCCCGAUUUGGUUAAACAGUCCUGUAUUAGCCCCUGGCUGCCUCAACUGGUGGAUGCCGUCGGCUGCCCAAUGACCAUCAACACAUAUGAGCUCGGUUUAAUCAGAGCUGAAAGAUUAGUGAGACUGACUAAAUUCUGAACAUGUUCCAUGUGAGAGAAAUAGCAUGUUGAUUUCAUCUUGAAAUAAUCAUAGCUGAGGGACGAGUCCGUAACUGAGGGUCAUGUGCAGAGCUGGAGGAAGAAGUUGCGAGGCUUGGAACUCUAACAGCAGUGAGGACAAUGCCUCUUUAGUUGUAAUUGUGAUACUCCUGAUGUGCAAGUAAACACUCCUGUGACACUCCUUAUGCUAAAAUGUUGGUUGUUAGUACAGAGGUGGUAACAUUAUUUGGUUCUCUUGUAUUGAUUUCAUAAUACAUGAUGUAAUACAAUCCACAUUGCAUUAUAUUUCGAGUUAUA